GCUGGGUAUAGACCCGAAACCAGGUGAUCUAUCCAUGAGCAGGUUGAAGGUUGGGUAACACUAACUGGAGGACCGAACCCACUGUCGUUGAAAAGCCAGGGGAUGACUUGUGGAUAGGGGUGAAAGGCUAAUCAAACUUGGUGAUAGCUGGUUCUCCCCGAAAGCUAUUUAGGUAGCGCCUCGGACGAAUACCAUUGGGGGUAGAGCACUGUUUCGGCUAGGGGGUCAUCCCGACUUACCAAACCGAUGCAAACUCCGAAUACCAAUGAGUACUAUCCGGGAGACAGACUGCGGGUGCUAACGUCCGUAGUCAAGAGGAAAACAAUCCAGACCGCCAGCUAAGGCCCCAAAAUUAUAGUUAAGUGGGAAACGAUGUGGGAAGGCAUAGACAGCUAGGAGGUUGGCUUAGAAGCAGCCACCCUUUAAAGAAAGCGUAAUAGCUCACUAGUCGAGUCGGCCUGCGCGGAAGAUGUAACGGGGCUAAAACUAUAUGCCGAAGCUGCGGAUGCAUAAUUUAUUAUGCGUGGUAGGGGAGCGUUCUGUAAGCCGAUGAAGGUGGAUUGAGAAGUCUGCUGGAGGUAUCAGAAGUGCGAAUGCUGACGUGAGUAACGACAAUGCGAGUGAAAAACUCGCACGCUGAAAGACCAAGGGUUCCAGUCCAACGUUAAUCGGGGCUGGGUGAGUCGACCCCUAAGGCGAGGCCGAGAGGCGUAGUCGAUGGGAAAUUGGUUAAUAUUCCAAUACUUCUGUGUAAUGCGAUGAGAGGACGGAGAAGGUUAAGUCAGCCUGGCGUUGGUUGUCCAGGUGGAAGGUUGUAGGCAUGUAUCUUAGGCAAAUCCGGGGUACUCUAUGCUGAGAACUGAUAGCAAGCUGUACUUGUACAGUGAAGUGGCUGAUACCAUGCUUCCAGGAAAAGUCUCUAAGCUUCAGUUACACAGGAAUCGUACCCGAAACCGACACAGGUGGUCAGGUCGAGUAGACCAAAGCGCUUGAGAGAACUCUGCUGAAGGAACUAGGCAAAAUGGUACCGUAACUUCGGGAGAAGGUACGCUGUUGUCUGUGAUAGGACUUGCUCCUUGAGCGGCCGACAGCCUCAGAAACCAGGCCCCUGCAACUGUUUAUUAAAAACAUAGCACUCUGCAAACACGAAAGUGGACGUAUAGGGUGUGAUGCCUGCCCGGUGCUGGAAGGUUAAUUGAUGGGGUUAGCGUAAGCGAAGCUCUUGAUCGAAGCCCCAGUAAACGGCGGCCGUAACUAUAACGGUCCUAAGGUAGCGAAAUUCCUUGUCGGGUAAGUUCCGACCUGCACGAAUGGCAUAAUGAUGGGGGCGCUGUCUCCAGCAGAGACUCAGUGAAAUCGAAUUCGCCGUGAAGAUGCGGUGUACCCGCGGCUAGACGGAAAGACCCCGUGAACCUUUACUGCAGCUUGACAUUGAACUUUGAUCUUACUUGUGUAGGAUAGGUGGGAGGCUUUGAAGUCGCGACGCUAGUUGCGAUGGAGCCGUCCUUGAAAUACCACCCUGGUAAUAUUGAGGUUCUAACUCUGUCCCGUUAUCCGGGACGAGGACCAUGUCUGGUGGGUAGUUUGACUGGGGCGGUCUCCUCCUAAAGAGUAACGGAGGAGUACGAAGGUGCGCUCAGCGUGGUCGGAAAUCACGCGUAGAGUAUAAAGGCAAAAGCGCGCUUAACUGCGAGACCCACAAGUCGAGCAGGUACGAAAGUAGGUCUUAGUGAUCCGGUGGUUCUGUAUGGAAGGGCCAUCGCUCAACGGAUAAAAGGUACUCUGGGGAUAACAGGCUGAUACCGCCCAAGAGUUCAUAUCGACGGCGGUGUUUGGCACCUCGAUGUCGGCUCAUCUCAUCCUGGGGCUGAAGCAGGUCCCAAGGGUAUGGCUGUUCGCCAUUUAAAGAGGUACGCGAGCUGGGUUUAGAACGUCGUGAGACAGUUCGGUCCCUAUCUACCGUGGGCGUUGGAAAUUUGAGAGGAUCUGCUCCUAGUACGAGAGGACCAGAGUGGACGAACCUCUGGUGUACCGGUUGUCACGCCAGUGGCAUCGCCGGGUAGCUAUGUUCGGAAGGGAUAACCGCUGAAAGCAUCUAAGCGGGAAGCCUACCUCAAGAUAAGAUUUCCCCGAGACUUUAUGUCUCCUAAAGAGCCGUUGAAGACUACGACGUUGAUAGGUUGGAUGUGGAAGCAUAGUGAUAUGUGAAGCUGACCAAUACUAAUUGCUCGUGAGGCUUGA
rnacentral:rRNA from 1 species